rnacentral:rRNA from 1 species
GGAAACAGAUGCUAAUACCGCAUAGAUCCAAGAACCGCAUGGUUCUUGGCUGAAAGAUGGCGUAACUAUCGCUUUUGGAUGGACCCGCGGCGUAUUAGCUAGUUGGUGAGGUAAUGGCUCACCAAGGCGAUGAUACGUAGCCGAACUGAGAGGUUGAUCGGCCACACUGGGACUGAGACACGGCCCAAACUCCUACGGGAGGCAGCAGUAGGGAAUCUUCCACAAUGGACGCAAGUCUGAUGGAGCAACGCCGCGUGAGUGAAGAAGGCUUUCGGGUCGUAAAACUCUGUUGUUGGAGAAGAAUGGUCGGCAGAGUAACUGUUGUCGGCGUGACGGUAUCCAACCAGAAAACCACGGCUAACUACGUGCCAGCAGCCGCGGUAA